CAGCAUCUUUCGCCCCGCCCGCUCUCCCUGCCACGUGGUGGCCGGGCGAGGGCCUCGGGGUAGCAC
rnacentral:pre_miRNA from 18 species